rnacentral:lncRNA from 1 species
UGGGGACAGGACAUCGGGGUCCCCAAGGAAAGGAUGGGGACAGGACCUCGAGGUCCAUGGGGACAGGAUGGGGAUGGGACAUUGGGGGUCACAGGGAUGGGACAUCGGGGUCCCCAAGGACGGGAUGGGGACAUUGGGGGUCAUGGGGAUGGGACAGGAUGGGGACAGGACAAUGGGGUCAUUGGGGACAGGACAGGGACAGGAUGUUGGGGUCCCUGGGGACAGGACAGUGGGGGUGAUGGGGAUGGGACAGUGGGGUCCCCAAGGACAGGAUGGGGACAUUGGGGGCCAUGGGGACGGGACAUCGGGGUCCCUGGGGACAGGACAUCAGGGUCCCCAAGGAAAGGAUGGGGACAGGAUGUUGGGGUCCCUGGGGACAGGAUGGGGACAGGACAGUGGGGGUGAUGGGGAUGGGACAUCAGGGUCCCCAAGGACGGGAUGGGGACAUUGGGGGUCAUGGGGAUGGGACAGGACAGUGGGGUCAUUGGGGAGAGGAUGGGGACAGGACAUGGGGGUCCCUGGGGACAGGACGGUGGGGGCCAUGGGGAUGGGACAUCAGGGUCCCUGGGGACAGGACAUCAGGGUCCCCAAGGAAAGGAUGGGGACAGGACCUCGAGGUCCAUGGGGACAGGACAUUGGGGGCCAUGGGGAUGGGACAUUGGGGUCCCCAAGGACAGGAUGGGGACAUUGGGGGCCAUGGGGACGGGACAUCGGGGUCCCUGGGGACAGGACAUUGGGGUCCUUGGGGACAGGAUGGUGGGGGCCACGGGGUCCCCAAGGGGUCCCCAAGGGCAGGACGGGGACAGGACAUGGGGGUCCCUGGGGACAGGAUGGGGAUUUCACUGGGAUGGGACAUUGGGGUCCCCAAGGGCAGGACGGGGACAGGACAUCGGGGGUCACUGGGGACAGGACAAGGACAGGACAUUGGGGUCCCCAAGGACAAGGUGGGGACAGGAUGUUGGGGUCCCUGGGGACAGGACAUCGGGGUCCCCAAGGAAAGGAUGGGGACAGGACCUCGAGGUCCAUGGGGACAGGAUGGGGAUGGGACAUUGGGGGUCACAGGGAUGGGACAUCGGGGUCCCCAAGGAAAAGAUGGGGACAGGAUGUUGGGGUCCUUGGGGACAGGACGGGGACAGGACAGUGGGGGUGAUGGGGAUGGGACAUCGGGGUCCCCGAGGACGGGAUGGGGACAUUGGGGGUCAUGGGGAUGGGACAGGAUGGGGACAGGACAAUGGGGUCAUUGGGGACAGGACAGGGACAGGAUGUUGGGGUCCCUGGGGACAGGACAGUGGGGGUCAUGGGGAUGGGACAUCGGGGUCCCUGGGGACAGGACAUCGGGGUCCCCAAGGAAAGGAUGGGGACAGGACCUCGAGGUCCAUGGGGACAGGAUGGGGACAGGACAUUGGGGUCUUUGGGGACAGGACAUUGGGGGCCAUGGGGACGGGAUGGGGACAGGAUGUUGGGGUCCCCAAGGGCAGGA